CAGUCGCCGCGGUAAUACGGAGGGUGCAAGCGUUAAUCGGAUUUACUGGGCGUAAAGCGUGCGUAGGCGGCUAAUUGAGUCGGAUGUGAAAUCCCCGAGCUUAACUUGGGAAUUGCAUUCGAUACUGGUUAGCUAGAGUGUGGGAGAGGAUGGUAGAAUUCCAGGUGUAGCGGUGAAAUGCGUAGAGAUCUGGAGGAAUACCGAUGGCGAAGGCAGCCAUCUGGCCUAACACUGACGCUGAGGUACGAAAGCAUGGGGAGCAAACAGGAUUAGAUACCCCCGUAGUCCCUGUCUCUUAUAA
rnacentral:rRNA from 1 species